rnacentral:rRNA from 1 species
UACAGAGGGUGCGAGCGUUAAUCGGAAUUACUGGGCGUAAAGCGCACGUAGGUGGCGACGUAAGUCGGGUGUGAAAGCCCGGGGCUCAACCCCGGAAUUGCCUUUAAGACUGCAUCGCUAGAAUCCAGGAGAGGUGAGUGGAAUUCCGAGUGUAGAGGUGAAAUUCGUAGAUAUUCGGAAGAACACCAGUGGCGAAGGCGGCUCACUGGACUGGUAUUGACGCUGAGGUGCGAAAGCGUGGGGAGCGAACAGG